AUUGAACGCUGGCGGCAGGCCUAACACAUGCAAGUCGAGCGAGCGGCGGACGGGUGAGUAAUGCCUGGGAAUUGCCCAGUCGAGGGGGAUAACAGUUGGAAACGACUGCUAAUACCGCAUACGAUUGGAUUGCCCAGGUGGGAUUAGCUAGUUGGUGGGGUAAUGGCUCACCAAGGCGACGAUCCGUAGCUGGUCUGAGAGGAUUGUAAGCCACACGGGAACUGAGACACGGUCCAGACUCAUACGGGAGGCAGCGGUGGGGAAUAUUGCACAAGGGGGGGAACGCUGGUGCAGCCAUGCCGCGUGUGUGAAGAGGGCCUUCGGGUUGUAAAGCACUUUCAGCGUGGAGGCGUUACUCGCAGAAGAAGCACCGGCUAACUCCGUGCCAGCAGCCGCGGUAAUUC
rnacentral:rRNA from 1 species